rnacentral:rRNA from 1 species
UGGGGAAUCUUGGACAAUGGGCGCAAGCCUGAUCCAGCCAUGCCGCGUGAGUGAUGAAGGCCUUAGGGUCGUAAAGCUCUUUCGCCAGAGAUGAUAAUGACAGUAUCUGGUAAAGAAACCCCGGCUAACUCCGUGCCAGCAGCCGCGGUAAUACGGAGGG